UGCGGAAAAAGGCAAACCCGCUGAAAGGCGGGGACGCAAAACUACCGGUCUACGGGAUUACCUACGACAGCGGGGUUGCCCAU
rnacentral:ncRNA from 1 species